GUGAGGAAUAUUGGUCAAUGGGCGAGAGCCUGAACCAGCCAAGUCGCGUGAAGGAAGAAGGAUCUAUGGUUCGUAAACUUCUUUUGCAGGGGAAUAAAGUGCAGGACGUGUCCUGUUUUGUAUGUACCCUGAGAAUAAGGAUCGGCUAACUCCGUGCCAGCAGCCGCGGUAAUACGGAGGAUCCGAGCGUUAUCCGGAUGUAUUGGGUUUAAAGGGUGCGUAGGUGGUUUGAUAAGUCAGCGGUGAAAGUUUGCAGCUUAACUGUAAAAAUGCCGUUGAAACUGUCGGACUUGAGUGUAAAUGAGGUAGGCGGAAUGCGUGGUGUAGCGGUGAAAUGCAUAGAUAUCACGCAGAACUCCGAUUGCGAAGGCAGCUUACUAAGCUACAACUGACACUGAAGCACGAAAGCGUGGGGAUCAAACAGGAUUAGAUACCCCAGUAGUCC
rnacentral:rRNA from 1 species